rnacentral:ncRNA from 1 species
UGAAAGUUUUAAUUUAGCUUAGGAAUUGGGUGGGGGUCUUUUUUACAUGUAAGUUUAAGCGUGAUUGAAAUUUCAUUUAAAUAAUGAUUUAUUAAUUUUAUUCGCAGUAAAUAAUUUUGGGGAAUUAGCUAUUGCUAGAAUUGGGGAGAUCAUGAAGAAUUAACAUAAUUUGUGCCAGCAGUUGCGGUUAUACAGAUAAUUCAAUUCAAUUAUUUUGGGGGAUAAUUAAUUGUAUUAGGUUGGCUUGUAAUAGAUUUUUUAAGGUGAAAUUUUAAUUUUUUUUUGUAGUCAAUGGUUUGAUAAUGAUUUAUUAAAACUUAAAUUUAAACUAGGAUUAGAUACCCUAUUAUUUAAGAGGUUAAUAAUUUUUCUUGGUUAUUAAUAGAUUUAUUCUUUAAAACUAAAGAUUCUGGCGGUUUUUUAGUCUAUUCAGAGGAAUCUGUCCUGUAAUUGACAUUCCACGUUUUAUUUGACUAUUUUUAUUCAGUUUGUAUAUCGCCGUAGAUUGAAUAUUUUAUGAGAAUUAAAUAUUCAUUGUUCUAAAUUAAGAAGGAAUUCAGGUCAAGGUGCAGCUUAUAAAAUAGUAGAGAUGGAUUACUUUUAAUUUAUUUUUGGUUAUUUAAGUGAAAUUUAAAUAUAAAUUGGAUUUGAUGGUAAUAAAGUUUAAAUUGAUUUUAUGAUUUUAGCUCUAAAAUAUGCACAUAUCGCCCGUCACUUUCAUUAAUAAUGAAAUAAGUCGUAACAGAGUAGGUGUACUGGAAAGUGUGUCUGGAAUGGC